rnacentral:rRNA from 1 species
UUCGCCCUUAGAGUUUGAUCCUGGCUCAGGACGAACGCUGGCGGCGCGCCUAACACAUGCAAGUCGAACGAGCGAGAGAGAGCUUGCUUUCUCAAGCGAGUGGCGAACGGGUGAGUAACGCGUGAGGAACCUGCCUCAAAGAGGGGGACAACAGUUGGAAACGACUGCUAAUACCGCAUAAGCCCACGACCCGGCAUCGGGUAGAGGGAAAAGGAGCAAUCCGCUUUGAGAUGGCCUCGCGUCCGAUUAGCUAGUUGGUGAGGUAACGGCCCACCAAGGCGACGAUCGGUAGCCGGACUGAGAGGUUGAACGGCCACAUUGGGACUGAGACACGGCCCAGACUCCUACGGGAGGCAGCAGUGGGGAAUAUUGCACAAUGGGGGAAACCCUGAUGCAGCGACGCCGCGUGGAGGAAGAAGGUCUUCGGAUUGUAAACUCCUGUUGUUGAGGAAGAUAAUGACGGUACUCAACAAGGAAGUGACGGCUAACUACGUGCCAGCAGCCGCGGUAAAACGUAGGUCACAAGCGUUGUCCGGAAUUACUGGGUGUAAAGGGAGCGCAGGCGGGAAGACAAGUUGGAAGUGAAAUCCAUGGGCUCAACCCAUGAACUGCUUUCAAAACUGUUUUUCUUGAGUAGUGCAGAGGUAGGCGGAAUUCCCGGUGUAGCGGUGGAAUGCGUAGAUAUCGGGAGGAACACCAGUGGCGAAGGCGGCCUACUGGGCUUUAACUGACGCUGAAGCACGAAAGCAUGGGUAGCAAACAGGAUUAGAUACCCUGGUAGUCCAUGCCGUAAACGAUGAUUACUAGGUGUUGGAGGAUUGACCCCUUCAGUGCCGCAGUUAACACAAUAAGUAAUCCACCUGGGGAGUACGACCGCAAGGUUGAAACUCAAAGGAAUUGACGGGGGCCCGCACAAGCAGUGGAGUAUGUGGUUUAAUUCGAAGCAACGCGAAGAACCUUACCAGGUCUUGACAUCCGAUGCAUAGUGCAGAGAUGCAUGAAGUCCUUCGGGACAUCGAGACAGGUGGUGCAUGGUUGUCGUCAGCUCGUGUCGUGAGAUGUUGGGUUAAGUCCCGCAACGAGCGCAACCCUUAUUGCCAGUUACUACGCAAGAGGACUCUGGCGAGACUGCCGUUGACAAAACGGAGGAAGGUGGGGAUGACGUCAAAUCAUCAUGCCCCUUAUGACUUGGGCUACACACGUGCUACAAUGGCGUAAACAAAGGGAAGCGAGACCGCGAGGUUAAGCAAAUCUCAAAAAUAACGUCUCAGUUCGGAUUGUAGUCUGCAACUCGACUACAUGAAGCUGGAAUCGCUAGUAAUCGCGAAUCAGAAUGUCGCGGUGAAUACGUUCCCGGGUCUUGCACUCACCGCCCGUCA